rnacentral:rRNA from 1 species
GACGAACGCUGGCGGCGUGCCUAAUACAUGCAAGUAGAACGCAGUUGCGAACGUGUGAGUAACGCGUAGGUAACUGCCUGGCAGCGGGGGAUAACUAUUGGAAACGAUAGCUAAUACCGCAUACUACCAGGUGGACCUGCGUUGUAUUAGCUAGUUGGUUAGGUAACGGCCCACCAAGGCAAUGAUAAAUAGCCUACCUGAGAGGGUGAUCGGCCACACUGGGACUGAGACACGGCCCAGACUCCUACGGGAGGCAGCAGUAGGGAAUCUUCCGCAAUGGGGGGAAGCCUGACCGAGCAACGCCGCGUGAGUGAAGACGGCUUUCGGAUCGUAAAGCUCUGUUGUUAAGGACGCGGUACUGAACCAGAAAGGGACGGCUAACUACGUGCCAGCAGCCGCGGUAAUAC